rnacentral:rRNA from 1 species
CACGCAGGCGGUUUGUUAAGCUAGAAGUGAAAGCCCCGGGCUCAACCUGGGAAGGCCUUUUAGAACUGGCAAGCUAGAGUCUUGGAGAGGGGAGUGGAAUUCCAGGUGUAGCGGUGAAAUGCGUAGAUAUCUGGAGGAACAUCAGUGGCGAAGGCGGCUCCCUGGCCAAAGACUGACGCUCAUGUGCGAAAGUGUGGGUAGCGAACA